AGGAAAAGGAAUGAAAAAGAAACCAAAUUAAAAGGAAAAACACGAACCAAAGAAGCGUGCGUUCACCUCAUUCCACUUACCUUCUUUGGUUUCUUGUUCCUUUUAAUUUGGGUUCUUUUCGGUCACUUCUCGCCUUGUUCUUCUUUGUGCUGUAAGUGAAGAGAGACAAGUGGAAUAUAAUGUAAUGCGUGCUCUCUUCACACAGAACAAGAAGAACAAGGAAGAGAAGUGGGUUAUUUUCUGUGCUUUUGUUCUU
rnacentral:ribozyme from 1 species